GGCGCUGUAGUGUAGAGGUUAUCACUCGAGAUUCUGAUAAUCCGAACGUGUGAUUAUUCUCGAAACCCAGGUUCGAGUCCUGGCAGUGCCU